GACGAACGCUGGCGGCGUGCUUAACACAUGCAAGUCGAACGGAGUGGCGGACGGGUGAGUAACACGUGGGUAACCUACCCAUCAGAGGGGGAUAACACUUGGAAACAGGUGCUAAUACCGCAUACUGAUGGAUGGACCCGCGGUGCAUUAGCUAGUUGGUGGGGUAAUGGCCUACCAAGGCGGCGACGGGUAGCCGGCCUGAGAGGGUGGACGGCCACAUUGGGACUGAGACACGGCCCAGACUCCUACGGGAGGCAGCAGUGGGGAAUAUUGCACAAUGGGCGGAAGCCUGAUGCAGCGACGCCGCGUGGGGGAUGACGGCCUUCGGGUUGUAAACUCCUUUCACCAUCGACGCGGUAGAUGGAGAAGAAGCACCGGCUAACUACGUGCCAGCCGCCGCGGUAAUAC
rnacentral:rRNA from 1 species